UUGUACUGAUUCGAGGAGUAGACUGAACAUAGAAUGUUUUUAUGUGAAUGAUCGAAAGAGCUAGGCUUACUUACACCAUGUAAAUGUAUAUUAUGGAUGGUGUAUCUCUUUAUAAAUGUGAGCCUCCAUGCAUAGGCCCUACUGCAGGCAGGUGUAUGUUAUUGUUUUUCUCGUGGCUCCGCCCACCCUUCAUUCAGGCAAGUGGACUUGAGGUUUGGUAACAUGCAAGCUACAUUUAGUCCUACGAAAGCAAUUCGUGAUUUACCGUAAAUUGACCGAUGACAUCUUCUACGAUAUGAUUUUUAUGAUGCAAAUAUUAAUCAUAAUAAUAGAGGAAAGCCCGUUUGUAUUUAGAAAUCUGUCGUUUGGGUUAGUCCGCUGGACAUGAUCGUCCGACUAGAAACCAUGUGUGCGUCCAUCACGUAGCUCGUAAACCACGUUGACUGACUAAUCGUGACAACAUUCUAAAUCGUUUCAUUGUAUGAAUGGACUGCGUUCCGUGCCUCUUUGUAUCGCCAUGUUACCCACAACAAUGGCGAUUUGUAAGACUUAUUUAUAUACCAAUAUGUGUAGAAGCGAGGCUGGCUGGAUAUAAGGGGUCAUAGGAAGAACUGCAGUACUUAAGACCCAUCAUGAUGUCCAGCCAGCCAGCGAGGCUGCUGGCUGUCUUGAACUCAUGUUCAUGGGUAAACUCAUGUUUACCCACCCGGUCAUCAAGUUUGAAACAACUUGACCUGCAAACCUUCACACAAUUAAUGGAUGUGGUUGUAGUCAUGUCAUUCUUACGUUUUUUCUUUCUUUCUUUCUUUCUUUCUUUCUUUCUUUCUUUCUUUCUUUCUUUCUUUCUUUCUUUCUUUCUUUCUUUCUUUCUUUCACCACACACUGUAUAGUAUUUUUUGAAUACAGUUAGAUUAUGUCAACUAGUUUGCAAAGCUGUUAAUUAAUGCAUGCAUAUUUUCGAUUACCCCAGGUUUGUGGCCAGUGGUUUCAAAAGGCAUGGGUGCGAAACGUCUUGCGAUGGUGUGUCCAGAGACAGAUUCAGAACUCCAUCGGUGACCAUGUUGCUUGUAGACCAGUGGAGUUCGACCGCGGUGCUCCAUGUGCAGGCGAAUGGUAUUGGAGGGGCCUUCUUUUGGGUGAGCAGUGCGUGUGUGUGGAAUGGGACCUGAAUCACCAUAUGCUGCACCAGCCUCUCAACAUUGGAGUCCAUAUUGAAUGGUCCAUCGAAGAGUCCAUCGUGCCCAGAGAACUGAGGCAGCUUGGCUGGUGGCCUGGCCACCAGGGGGGCGCUCGACGACUGACAGCAGUUCCCUGGCCGAACCCGGCCACUAGGGGUCACUGUUGGCUCCUCUGUGGGCUCAGCCUUCAGCCUCAGCCAGAGUGGGUAUCUCCCACUCUGGAAAUUCCCUCUCAUAUUCACCGGUAACAUCCUACUUCUGACACAAAUAUGGCGAGCAACAUGGGAAUCAGCAGACGGAAGCCUAGGUUAAAGGAUUUUGCGUCUCUCGUUACACAGUGUCCCUUUAAGUCUGUUAUGUUUAUUAUUUUGACAAUGGCUCACCCUGAUGGCUACCUUGAGCUAUUUCAGGCUUGAUAUUCAAAGGAAAUCCUGUGUUUGUACUGUUUGAGUUUGUUUUUUGGUAUCUCCUAGACUGGAAGGUGGUAACGACUAUCCUCAAACAUCACACGACCCAACCCCGAACAUGAUUGCCUCUGUGACGUUGUCGCUCCAGCCGACCCCACCCGUUACCCAGGUGCAAGCCCCCCCCCCCCCAAAAAAAUAACCCCUUCAACCACACUCAUGAUUCCCGGGUGACCCAGACAAAGGAGGGCGCUCAGUCCAACAGUGGAGAGUCCGACCGGUCCCAGAAUCCCUUGCAGGUUGCAGCCACCCGAAACACAGAGACCACGGCCGUGAUCGCGAUUCGCCACAAUACUUUAUUUGAUAUUUAUUCUUCUAUGUAUUCUUCACUUUACUUGUUUGAUACUUCAUACCCAAGAUCUACCACUACCUUUUUAAAUGUGUUUUUUUAUUUGUAUGAAUACAAUAAAAGGUCUUGUUUGAUA